GGGAAUCAAAGGAGCAAUCCGCUGAGGGAUGGACUCGCGUCCGAUUAGCCAGUUGGCGGGGUAAUGGCCCACCAAAGCGACGAUCGGUAGCCGGACUGAGAGGUUGAACGGCCACACUGGGACUGAGACACGGCCCAGACUCCUACGGGAGGCAGCAGUGGGGAAUAUUGGACAAUGGGCGAAAGCCUGAUCCAGCCAUGCCGCGUGUGUGAAGAAGGUCUUCGGAU
rnacentral:rRNA from 1 species